rnacentral:rRNA from 1 species
UACGUAGGUGGCAAGCGUUAUCCGGAUUUAUUGGGCGUAAAGGGAACGCAGGCGGUCUUUUAAGUCUGAUGUGAAAGCCUUCGGCUUAACCGGAGUAGUGCAUUGGAAACUGGGAGACUUGAGUGCAGAAGAGGAGAGUGGAACUCCAUGUGUAGCGGUGAAAUGCGUAGAUAUAUGGAAGAACACCAGUGGCGAAAGCGGCUCUCUGGUCUGUAACUGACGCUGAGGUUCGAAAGCGUUGGUAGCAAACAGG